CAUGGUUGAUAUGCAUGGACAGUAAAAAACACCAACUUUAAAGCCAUUUUUGUCAGAUUCACUGUUUGCCUAGACUGCGCUUUGCUUUUGUAGCACAGUUCAGGUGGCUGCCCUUGCCAUUAGUCUGCCUCCUGUCCCUCGUAUCGCCAUGGGUACACCUUCCUGAAAACAAUGGCAUCAGACUUUACUUAAACCUGUUCUGCCAGUUCAUGUCCUUAAAGAUUAGAAUGUUCCAAUGUGGUUAGCCAAAAAGAUGACAAGAUAGUAACCCUGAAUGAUGAAUGUGUGAACUAUCAAACAGAUAUGUCACUUUUCUGGUUCCUCCGUAACUUAAUUCUUGCUUGUAGCAGGGCGUGUUUACAGGAAUCCUUUUCUCUAAGUAUAAGUCACAUGAUUUCAUGACAAAAGUAUUCUGCAGUGAGAGUGUAAUGCAAGUCAAGGUGUCCUUGGACGAAUGUCAACAAGAUUUAUAACUAGUAUUGUUAAAUUAGCUGUUGUGAUUCAAUCUGACCAUAGCAGUUCACGCCCUAAAAGGAAAGGAAAUGUUCAAAUGUAAUCCAUGAAGAAGAAUUGGGAUUAUGUGUACAGCUAUUCUGCGGGAGAAUUGCAAAUUGUUGUUACACAUUUUGGUAAAUGAUGAGUUAAGACCCGAAAUCAGGCUUUGUAGUAUGUGUUUUAUCUUGUGACAAAGUGUCCUGGUUCAACUGUCCGUUUCAGAGAACAUGGAGUGACAUAUUUGAAGUAACUACAAAAUCACAGUAAAAAAUCCAUGUAAACAGCAGUAAGUGAAGUUAAUAAGUGCAGUCUGCAGUCUGGCUUUGUUCUGCCAUGUUUUGACUGGUAAUCUAUCAGGCUCCGAGUUCAGGCCAUCCCGAUCCCGAUCAUGACACACGACCCCGUGAGAGAGCCAGCGAUCUAUAAACAUGGCACAAUCUGAGAAAUUAUGAAACGCAAAUACCCAGAUAAUGGUAAGAAAGAUAGCAAACAAAAUAUUUAAUAGCUAGCUUUCAUAAAGCAAUUUACAGUGUUUAUAAUGAUAGUUAUACUAAGUCAAAUAUUUCUUAAAAAGUUUAAACAUUCUCUGCGAUGAAAUAGUUCUUACCUUAUGGCGAAAAAAAUGCUUGAAGGUUACUUCAAUACAACAUUUAAAACAAUACUAAAUAAAACCAUUAAAUACAGUUGGAAUGUAGUUAGAAUUCUCCAAACAACCAGAAAGUUGGAUCAACACGUUUGGAUUUCUAGAUAGUGUGGUGGCAUAUUUCUGCUUUACCAAAAGAGGAGAGUUACAAACUACACACCAGUCAAAUCAAAUCAAAUUUAUUUAUAUAGCCCUUCGUACAUCAGCUGAUAUCUCAAAGUGCUGUACAGAAACCCAGCCUAAAACCCCAAACAGCAAGCAAUGCAGGUGUAGAAGCACGGUGGCUAGGAAAAACUCCCUAGAAAGGCCAAAACCUAGGAAGAAACCUAGAGAGGAACCAGGCUAUGUGGGGUGGCCAGUCCUCUUCUGGCUGUGCCGGGUGGAGAUUAUAACAGAACAUGGCCAAGAUGUUCAAAUGUUCAUAAAUGACCAGCAUGGUCGAAUAAUAAUAAGGCAGAACAGUUGAAACUGGAGCAGCAGCACAGUCAGGUGGAAGUUGAAACUGGAACAGCAGCAUGGCCAGGUGGACUGGGGACAGCAAGGAGUCAUCAUGUCAGGUAGUCCUGGGGCAUGGUCCUAGUCAGUCAGAGUUAUACUUAAACUACAUCUUUAAUAAAAAUGAUAAGCUUUGCAAAAGCAAUUUGACUUUCAACAAUUCACUAUUUCUAAUGAACCGUUGAGAAGUGACUACAGAAAAAUACAAAGGUCUUUUAUAGCCAAGAUACACCCCUCUUAAUUUACAUGACGAACCACAGAUCUUAGGAACUGUUCACAAAGAAAUACUUUUUCUGAAGAAAGGAGUAUCCCUUAGCCAGAUAUCAUUCGCUAUAAAUUAUCGUUCAGUUUGGUCCCUCAGAUAAGGUUCUAAUCUCGUUCCUGGUACUUCAUAGUACAAAAACACCAACUCAUCCAAUGGCAUAUAUCAAUUAUCAACUCUAGAUACUCCCAUCUCAAGUAAACCCCCUCUUGACCCCACUCUUGGACAAGCUCACUGAGGGGAGUGAGCCUCUAGGUCAUACACUAUCCCAGGAUAAGUGCAACAUCAGAGAGGACAUACAAUGGUUCCAGACACUGCCAUACACCUCCCCCUAGUGGGAAAAGGAGGGAGUAACUUGCGCACAGACAUUGUGGAGACAAGUCAUUGGUUCCCCAUAAAUCACACCAUACCUUCACAUGGUUUAGAAUAGGUAAAGACACAUUCACAUAAGAAGACAAUGUUCCAUUCUGUCCUCUUCCCUUUCUGAUAUUCUGCAUAGCACCAGGGACAUGUGAAAGACAAGCCUGACCUCUCCCCUCUCUGGGCCCCAGGUGACUGAGCCCCAGCUGAGGGAAGAAGUACAACUGCCAACACCAGAGUCUGAAGGGAUACAUUCUAAUAACAAGUAUAUCACAUAAGCAUAUUAUGCAGAUAAGACACCUUAAUUAUCUAUGUUACCCAACUAAUUCUGAUUCUUCCGCCACAAAACUUCACUUUGCUUUUGCAUUACCCAUAUAGUUAUUUAAGUUCAUACCAAGGUAAGGGACAGUAUCAAUAUUUUAAGGGGUCGUAGGUCAGAUCGGAGGUCAUGGUUGAUAGGUAUAAAAUAUGACUUUAUAAUUAGAUAAUGCAUCAGUGCAUUAUCACUUAUCUACCUACAUGUACACCAUAUUUGGCUGGACAGCAAAACACUUAAAAACAAUCUUUCCUCAGUUUUACUGUUUACUAGUUUUACUGGUUAUAUUGGAAUAGGGUGCCAUUUGGAUAGGGAAUAGGGUGCCAUUAGGAACUCUGUAUACAUGUAGAGCAGAAGAAAGAGCUCCACCUGCUGGUGAAUGGUAGCACAGUGCUGUGCCUGGCGGAGGGGCGGGGCCUGGAACUCCUCUAGAGCCUCAGCUCCCUGAUCCACACAAACACACUGGUGUCCACAACCUGGGGCCUGUUGCACAAAAGUAGAAUUAAGACAUCCGGGAUAAAUGACUCAGCUGAGCUCAAUGAAGCCAAAACAUGUGCGUCCAGGCUUAAUUGGUUGCACAAAGACCAAGCCAGGAUGAGCAGACACGGAUUCAUUAAGCCAGGUGAAACCAAUCCUGGAUAGGUGCGCGCUCACGGCUCACUCAAAUAGACCCCGCCACAGAUCACAGAUUAACUGAUUUACCAUGGCAACUAGAGCCGCGUACUUUUCCCCGUCGGAAGCACAAAUCCUCAUGGAGGCAUACGAGGAGGUAAAAUAUAUAAUUAAGAAGAAAGGCAACACCGCCACAGUGAUAAAGCAAAGAGAAAAAGCGUGGCAAAGUAUUGCAGACCGCCUGAAUGCAUUAAACAUGAACGGGCCAAAACGGACAUGGCAGCAGGUCAAAAUCAAAUACAAGAACAUUCUGCAGAAUGCAGUGAAAAAGAAUACCCACAGACAAGGCACGGGUGGUGGGUCACCAAAGGCUGACCUUACCCCAGCAGAGGACAUGGCCUUGGAGCUAAAUAAAGGCAGGCCCGUCUUAGAGGGGAUCCCUGGGGGAAAGAGACGAGCAUAGGUUCCUCCCAAGAUGCCACCCGCUUCAUUCAAGUGCCUGGCAGCACUGUGUUCCUGUUAGAGCCACCAGCACAAGCACCAGACGAUGCUGAUCCAGGUGAAGGCCCCAGUGCAGCAGCAACAGCACAUGAUGGAGACGAUGAUGAGGAGGAGACCAUCUCUCUGGAUUCCAGAAGGCAUGAGGUAUCAUGUUAAGACUGUGAAAGUACUAUUUACUCUACAAUGGUGAGGAGUCCUCAUCAAAAUCAAAAAUCUAUUUUCUUUUACAGGACCCAGAUGCUAUACAGUGGGAAAACCAGCCUGGCAACAUAGUGCGUAUUAAUAAAAGGACACCACAUCCUGCCAAAUUCCAGCUGCGCUAAUUGUAUUGUGUUCACAGAGCUCACAAGCUAUCAGAAAGUUGUAUGGCAACCACCUCCGGCGCCAAAUAGAACUGGCAGACAUAGACAUUCAGUACAAGAAGAAAAAGAUGGAAAAUCUUGCACUGGAGUCCGAAAUAAAAAAGAGGACAAUUAGGAAACUGGACCUUGAAAUAAAAAACUUGAGAGGGAGCUCCAAGAAGAUGACACAGCUCAAAAUAAAAAUUAGGUAUAUUCUCGUAAAGUCAAGUGAGCCAUGACAUAUGAGCUCUUAUUGUGAGCACACAGGACGGUGGCAUCUUUCUAAGAUUUUUUUAUUUUCCCAGCAAUCAGU